UCCUCUCCUAUCUUCUAUCCUCUCUUCUUCUCUCCCCUCCUCUCUCCUCUCUUCUCCCUCUAGUGGAGCACUCAAGACAUUGGAUGAGCUCCUCAAACAGAUGGGAGAAUAAAUGGGAGGUCCAACAUUUCGAGAUUGACGUGAAAAAUGGACGUGGAUGUAGUUGCAGGGUGCAGUGAAAUUCUUAAACUCCGACGUCCUACAGUGCAGGUGUGAAUUAAACAAUAAAAAAAUAAUAUAUACA